UAAAAACCCCGACUUCGGAAGGGGUGUAUUUAUUAGAUACAAAACCAAUGCCCUUCGGGGCUCUUUGGUGAUUCAUGAUAACUAUACGAAUCGCACGGCCUUGCGCCGGCGAUGGUUCAUUCAAAUUUCUUCCCUAUCAACUUUCGAUGUUUGGGUAUUGGCCAAACAUGGUUGCAACGGGUAACGGAGGGUUAGGGCUCGACCCCGGAGAAGGAGCCUGAGAAACGGCUACUACAUCCAAGGAAGGCAGCAGGCGCGCAAAUUACCCAAUCCCGACUCGGGGAGGUAGUGACAAUAAAUACUGAUACAGGGCCCUUUCGGGCCUUGUAAUUGGAAUGAGUACAAUUUAAAUCCCUUAACGAGGAACAAUUGGAGGCAAGUCUGGUGCCAGCAGCCGCGGUAAUUCCAGCUCCAAUAGCGUAUAUUAAAGUUGUUGUGGUUAAAAAGCUCGUAGUUGAACCUUGGGCCUGGCUGGCCGGUCCGCCUCACCGCGUGCACUGGUCCGGCCGGGCCUUUCCCUCUGUGGAACCCCAUACCCUUCACUGGGCGUGGCGGGGAAACAGGACAUUUACUUUG
rnacentral:rRNA from 1 species